rnacentral:rRNA from 1 species
GACAGAGGGGGCAAGCGUUGCUCGGAAUCACUGGGCGUAAAGGGCGCGUAGGCGGGAUGGCAAGUCAGUCGUGAAAUCUCUCGGCUCAACCGAGAAACGUCGGCUGAUACUGCCGUUCUUGAGGGAUGCAGAGGAGACUGGAAUUCCCGGUGUGGCGGUGAAAUGUGUAGAGAUCGGGAGGAACACCGGUGGCGAAGGCGGGUCUCUGGGCAUUUCCUGACGCUGAGGCGCGAAAGCGUGGGGAGCAAACGGG